ACCAGCACGUCUCUUGCAUUAUUUAAUCCCCUCCCCCGGCUCCCCUACCCGGCGAGGGAGAGAAGGGAGGCAUCAGCUGAUCAAGCAGCCUCACACGAUGACCUACAUCCCGCAGUGUCCUUCCCUACCACCAGGGCCCAUCCACAUCCCUCCCCUAAACCCCAAUGCAAGGGGGGAUUACGUUGGAAAAAGAAGCGACGUCUGGCAUCUCACCACCCGGGUAGAGUUGCCUAGUGUCGUAAAGCCAUAACGGGGACUGUUUAGUUUCUGCCUGUCUGUGGCUGUGUGAGGUAGUGUCGUGAAGUGCUCCGGCUCCGGUCUAUCUCACACACCGCCAAACACAAUUUAAUGCAACUUCGUCAAGUUAUAAAUGGAAAUCCAAUAACACACCAUGUUAGAAAUAUGUAAACUUUAUAAAAAUCAUGUGAGACAAAGGUGAUCGUGUUGGAGUGAAGCAGCGAGGCAGGCAGCAGUGCGAGGUGUUAGUCAGGUGCAGUGUUGGCUGCCCCGCCUCAACAAUGUCAACACCGCGUCAAUACAUCUUACCUCAGCAUCCUCCAGCGAGCAUGUUUAUCAGUCUGUACCUGUUACCCUGUUAAUGCUAGUGAGAACGGAGGCAGCUGAUGUAACAGUACAAUAGCUCAUGCCUAGCACCAAGAAAACUGCCCUCACACUACACGACGCACAAGAAGGCAUGCUAGCCCAGCACACACGUUCAACAAACGUCAUGGACAGUGCCAAAGGUAGCAGCAACACCACCACCACCAACUGCAACAGUAGUAACAACAAUAGUUUCAGCAGCAACAUUAGUAAUAGCAGUAGUAGUAACAUAGCGGCAACAGAAGCAACAACGACAAUAGCUGCACAAGUAACAACAGCAACUACAAUAACAGCAACAAAAAUAGUAGAAGCAACAGUAGUGCAAUAGUAGUACGGCAACUAAAGCAUCAGAAGCUACCGCCGACACAGCAGCAGCAUCAACAGAAACCGCCGACACGGCAGAAGCAUCAGCAGCAGCACCAUAGCCACUGCAGCUACUGCAACAGCAUCUUAAGCCACCACAGCAGGAUCAUAAGCCACCGCAGCAACAGCAUAAGCCAUUACAGCAGCAACAUCACAAGCCACCGCCGCAGCAACAGCAUCAGAAGCCGCGGUAACACUAGCAGCAGCAGCAGCAGCAGCAGCAGCAGCAGCAGCAGCAGCAGCAAUGCGCCGUUGUGGCUCGGCUGGACUGACAUUAUAGUUAUAUAUACCUGACACGGAAAGUUCGUUAUAAUAUAAUUAUUUAAUGCAUAUCAAGACAGCAUCUUUAACAACAGGAAAAGGGACACACAGCUUGUACGUAAUACCCGCACGGGUUCACAGUAACGGGGUUGGAGGUGAGCGAUGUUGCCACAACACUGAGGCGCUCUCACACCAAUACAAGAGAUUUGACACCUGCGCGCACACGUACUCACAAGUUUCCGGGAAAUGUUCAUGCUGGUCUGAAUAAAUUUGUCCUGACUGAACCUAUAUUAAUCAUCUACUCUGCGUAUAUACACACGUACUGUUAAAGAGAAGAGUAAAAGUAGCCAAACGGAGAUACUGUUAGUCCUGGAGCCCGAGGAACUUGAGCAUCACAGGUGAACAAAACCACCGCGACUGAGAGCAAGAUGUAGCAUCCUUUGUUAAAGAUAACGUUGACAUUUAUUACUUCCUAUCUUCCUUUAAUAGUGACAAAAUAUAAAGGAACUGGUAGAUUAAUAACAAAUUUAUAAAGACAGACUUCUCUGGUUUUAGUUUGAUUUUAUGUCACUAUCUGAUUCAGUCAGGAAAUUGAGGAAAUAUACCGCUAUAAAUACUAUGUACUCCAAAGAGUACUUACACCUAGAUGUCAACUCAAGUCUUCAAUGUUGCAACAUUCAGGCAAUGACAGAAUGUUCUCCACAAUAUGAUCAGUUCAGAGACUUAUGUUUCUUCUGCUGAUAAAUGCAGGAGUUUAUGCCGUCACUACUGUGUUGACUGUUAAAUCAUAGGAAUAUAUCUUACCUUUGAUGAGUUCGGACAGUUUUUCUACUCCCGGAGCCCGGCCAUAGGUCAGUAUUUGCCUGGUCGGUGCUUGCCCGAGUUGUCUCAUUAUUUACUCUUACCUCUUCCAAGAUUUUUCUUGGAUAGACUGUUCUACGAAAGUAUUUUUGUCGAUUCGAUCACAGCUGGAACAGACACCGAGAUCGUUUAUGAACCACAUAGAUCAAAUAAAACACACAGAUUACUGGGAAUGCCAUAAAGUCCUAUGUCUUACAA